GACAGAGGAGCCAAGCGUUGUCCGGAUUGACUGGGCGUAAAGCGCACGCAGGCGGUCGUGCAAGUGGGGUGUGAAAACUGGCGGCUUGACUGCCAGAGGCCACCUCAUACGGCGCGACUCGAGCCCUGCAGAGGUCCAUGGAAUUGCCGGUGUAGUGGUGAAAUGCGUAGAGAUCGGCAGGAACACCCAGGGGGAAACCAGUGGACUGGGCAGGAGCUGACGCUCAGGUGCGAAAGCGUGGGGAGCGAACCGG
rnacentral:rRNA from 1 species